CCUUAAAAUAAAGUCUUAAAACUCUUAAAAUCUUAAUACUAUACAGAAAAAAGAUAGAUGCCCACUUUAGUUACUUCUCAUUAGUAAUAAACAUUCUUUUUUCUUCUUCUUUUUAUUAUUUUCCUUCAGACAGGUGCAUUAGAUCUGUCUGGUUACUAAUUGUGCAUAAUUUAGUUGAAUAGUUAAAAUCAAAUCAAAAUCAAAGCAAAUUUAAAUCAAAUAUUCAAAACAUCAAAGUUUCUCUUCAAAGGGGUUUUACUCAAUAACACUGUGUUUUUCUCAAGAAAGAGUCUUGUUUUUUUCACAGUUAAAAAGAUAUGAAUCUUAAACUCAAAUUUUCCAUUUAGUUUAGUGCUUAUGUGCUUAUGAGAGAAAUGGGAAAGGAAAUAGGUAGGACAGAGGCUGAUGUGGGUAAAUUAUUAAUUGCUUAUGUGGUGAGUUUGUGGUACAUUUGGUUUGUAUGCAUGCAGUAAUGGCAAAAGCCUUAUUUUCUUUAGACUCUGGUGGAUGAGGAAGUAUCACAUUUACUGCAUCUCUCAGAAUGAAUCACAAAGAGCAGGUUUUAGUUUUUGCAAGACAGCACUUUGGUCAUUUCCGUAUUACUUUGGCAAUGUACACCACGUGAGAACCCAAAUGAUGCUCAAGAUUAUCUCAAAACUAAUGUGUGUAAGUAAUAUGCUUCUUCUACCUGUACAUUUACUUUGUCAGUAUAUUUAAUGACAUGAUAUUGUAUAUGUUCACUUUAUCUGUCCAUUAUCUGUCUGAUAAGUCCUAAAAGAUAUAUACAGAUAAGUGACAAAAGAACAUGCGAGGGAAGUACAUAUUCAUGUAUUGUUGUUGUUUAUGCGGUGAGUAUGUUUGUGCGUUUCAGGCCCUAUAAGAAACAUCAUUAAAAUGACCAGUAGAUGGCGCUAAUAGGGUUUCUGCAAAAAGUGUUUUACUAUUCAGUCCAACAUAAAUUCCAUUCCACACACUGCAGAAACACUAGUCUGACAGAGAAAACUGGAUUACAGAGUUAUUAGAAGGUUAUUGCAGUAACUCUGGUUGUAGUUGAAUUAAAAGGGCAAAUAAGGUGUGGGCGAUAACAAGACAUUGAUGCAUUCAAUUGUUUUAUGUAUUCUGGAGUAGAGUAUCUCAUCUCCACAAUAUCUACUGCAAUGGAUUUUCAUGAAAUUCCUACAUAAUAUUAGUAUUAAUUAGUUGCUUUAAAAUAAAAUCAAUGUAAACUGAAGUAAAAUUAAACCUAAAUCAAAUAAAAUCUAAAAAAAAAAAGAAGAAAAAAAAGAUUUUAAUUAAACGGAUUCAAAAUUUCUCAGUUCAAUUCAGUUUAGUUGAAGUACUUUAAUUGAAAUACUUUAAUAACUAAAUAAAUAAAAAAUAAAUAAAUUAAAAUUAAAAUACUUUAAAAUGAAUAUUUAUCUAAAAUAAUAAAACUGAAAGAAAUUUUAAGUUAAAACAGAAAAUAUAAAAAUAAGAUAGCCUAUAUUUAAAAGUGUAUAUUUAAAACUAUUUGAAACUAUAAUAGUAUUAAUGAUCCUAAAAUAACAGCAUAAAAUAUGACAUUAAACUUCUACCAUAAACAUUUUUAAGGACAAUAAAGAUCAACAAAUUAUCAGUCCUUGUGUUUAUUGAAUACAACUGCUUUAUUUUACAUUUUAGACAUCAGUACCACCAGUUAGUUUGUUUAUUUUUGCUCUGCCAAAAUAGUUCUAACCAAUUUCGAAGCACAGCAUCUCUGAGCACAGUAGUUUUGUUUUGUUUCUGAAUGAUGAUUGUUUCAUAAUAAAUAUUUUUAAAUUAUGCCAAGCCCAGAAUUAAUUUUCCUGAGGUUGCUGUUUUGAUCUCAAGGUUUUUCAAUUUUUGAUUAAAGAUUACGAUGGCAGACCAAUUUUUAUUUUUUUCCCCGGUGUAUUGACUUUCACGGUUUAAUUGUUCACCACAAGACUAGCAAUGUGCACUAUAAAUGUAAGUAGGGUCUAUUUUUUUAUUUGUCUGACAAUUUGAAAAUUGUUUAUAUUUACAAAAUACAUUUUGUAGUUGGUCAGUGAAAACAUUGGAAAUCUUUUAAUUGUACCUUUGUCAAUUAAAUGAAGGUUGGAGAAUGAUUUUAUUGCAUUUUACAAAACGUCCCAACUUUUCUGGGGUCCCACUUUAUAUUAGGUGGCCUUAACUACUAUGUACUUACAUUUAAAUGAAUCAUUUGAUACAAUGCACUUAUUGUGUACAUACAUGUUCUUAAAUUGUACUUAUAUUUUUAAUAAUACCUUUAUAUAAUUACAUCUGUAAUUAAUUUCUGUAAUUACAUUUAUAAUUACACUGUUGACCCAGGCCUGUGGGUUUCCUGUUUUGACAUGUUUAGAUGUUGCUGCAUAGUAGUUUCAACCCACUGCAAUAAAACAAAGACAGUUGUCCAGUUCUUGAAUUUACUCAUUGCAUGUGAAAUGUAAAGCAUAACAUUUUGGGCUUAUCUGCAUGUCUGGACUCUUUCUGAGGCUAAUCAUCUCAAUAAUCAAACAAAUACAGUAGCCUCUUUGCAUAUCUGUCUGAUGAAAAAAAAAGGUUAAAGAUUUACCUGAUCAAAAAUCAAAUCAGAGCAAAAAAGUAAAUGCAAGGUGACUGCAUACUGCUCUCACUCUUUGUAUGUUCACACAAUAACCCAAUUUACUGCUAACCCCUCAUGACACAGGCAUGCUUUAGGUAAAACUUUCCAUUGGUGUGAAUCAAUCAGAUGAUAGUUGACAUCUGCAUUAAGACCCUCAGCGCUGCCACUUAUUCACAAUCAUUCCCUGAGAUGGAGAGGCCAAGCCUUACUCUCAUCGCAGUCAUGUGUAAGAAAAAAAUAUACUUCAUUAGUUGUUUUUGAGAGUUUUUGAAUUAAAAUGUCACUAUUGUUAUAUUUUUGUGUAACACCACAAUAUGAAGUGCUUCAUAAAGUUAUUUUGUGCUUUUACAGUUUUACUAUUCCAUCAGAAAAAAAUCUAUGGAGAAGAAGAAAAUCUGUCAUGAAAAUCAAAUCUCUCAUGGAAACCGAACAUACAGUACUUAAACGUUUCAGUUCUAUCCACAAUCCCUACAAUAAUUCUUAUGAUCUAAAUAUUACUAACAUUAGUGUCUCUAAUCUGGGACUGUACUACUGUGCAAAACUAGAGAAAAAGAUAAAUGCAGAUGAAAAAGGCAUCAUCUCCUCAUCAGAAGUGUACUAUUAUGGAAAACGAACAACUCAUCUCUCUCUGGAAGUAUCUUCCUGUUCUGGACCCCUGAACACCACCUCCACACCACCUCCUGUAUCAGACUGUGUGCUCUGCUGGACGCUGCUGUUCAGUGUGUGUUCUCCUCUCAUCUAUCUGUGUGUUCUGCCUCUGGUGCAGGAAUACUAGAGAUUCUGCAACUGAUCAAAAAGACAAGCUGAAAAAUAGAAACAUUUUUGAGGUAUGACUUACGAAAACAUACAAGUUAAUCCACCAUAUGGAAGAUUUCAACUACAG